UACGGAGGGAGCUAGCGUUGUUCGGAUAUACUGGGCGUAAAGCGCACGUAGGCGGCGUCGUAAGUCAGGGGUGAAAUCCUGGAGCUCAACUCCAGAACUGCCUUUGAUACUGGAGAGCUUGAGUCCGGGAGAGGUGAGUGGAACUCCGAGUGUAGAGGUGAAAUUCGUAGAUAUUCGGAAGAACACCAGUGGCGAAGGCGGCUCACUGGCCCGGUACUGACGCUGAGGUGCGAAAGCGUGGGGAGCAAACAGG
rnacentral:rRNA from 1 species